AGCUUAGCUCUUAUGAAGUUAGCGGCGGACGGGUGUAGUAACACGUGGGUAACCUACCCAUAAGACUGGGAUAACUCCGGGAAACCGGGGCUAAUACCGGAUAAUAUUUUGAACUGCAUAGUUCGAAAUUGAAAGGCGGCUUCGGCUGUCACUUAUGGAUGGACCCGCGUCGCAUUAGCUAGUUGGUGAGGUAACGGCUCACCAAGGCGACGAUGCGUAGCCGACCUGAGAGGGUGAUCGGCCACACUGGGACUGAGACACGGCCCAGACUCCUACGGGAGGCAGCAGUAGGGAAUCUUCCGCAAUGGACGAAAGUCUGACGGAGCAACGCCGCGUGAGUGAUGAAGGCUUUCGGGUCGUAAAACUCUGUUGUUAGGGAAGAACAAGUGCUAGUUGAAUAAGCUGGCACCUUGACGGUACCUAACCAGAAAGCCACGGCUAACUACGUGCCAGCAGCCGCGGUAAUACGUAGGUGGCAAGCGUUAUCCGGAAUUAUUGGGCGUAAAGCGCGCGCAGGUGGUUUCUUAAGUCUGAUGUGAAAGCCCACGGCUCACCCGUGGAGGGUCAUUGGAAACUGGGAGACUUGAGUGCAGAAGAGGAAAGUGGAAUUCCAUGUGUAGCGGUGAAAUGCGUAGAGAUAUGGAGGAACACCAGUGGCGAAGGCGACUUUCUGGUCCUGUAACUGACACUGAGGCGCGAAAGCGUGGGGAGCAAACAGGAUUAGAUACCCUGUAGCCCACGCCGUAACGAUGAGUGCUAAGUGUAGAGGGUUUCCGCCCU
rnacentral:rRNA from 1 species